GAGCCGAUCAUCCACCAGUAAAAGUCCUAAGUCUCAGACAUUACACCAGCAGAGCUUCUGGUCCCUGAUUACCCUUCACAGAGUGGAAAUUUAUGUUGCUCCUGGAGACUUUCUUACUGUCAGUGGUCUCAGCGGAUAGAUAAUUAGCUUAUCCUGGCAGACACCCAAGCAAAAACACACACCAUAAUUACAGUUGUCUUAAAGGACAUGUUAGCAUCUCAAGCUCUUCAGCAUCACCUGCUUAUUUGAACAGUUGUAUUUGUAAUGCUGUCUAUGCCAUGACGGUCAGCAGACAAAGUAAAUCAGCAAAAUGAUACUCACUCUUAUUUUCCAACCUCAGCCUCGGGCAAUCAAGAAAACCACGAACAUCUGCCUAGAUUCUGAUUGCCACGUUCACUGAUUCAGUGCACCCAAAUAAGCAACAAUUAGUUUGUUCAGCACGUGUCAAGAGACCCGUCACAUUAAUUCAAAUUAAGACAAAAUAAAUUGAAUC